CUCUCGACUUUAUUUCCGUGGUAAUGAGUUCAUGAAGGUUACACCAAGAAGGUUACACUCGAGAACUCGAGCGAGUCUUAGUGCUAAUUGGAUGGACGCAAUAAAUACGAAUCCCUACAAGGUCAUCUUCAUGGCAGACGAACGUCCAAUUAGUAAGCUCGUCACCAAUAAGAAAAGUAGCAUGGCCCUCAAGGUUCAAAACGCGGAACUUUGUAGGCAAGAAUUUAGGGGCGAACUUUGAGUUGGGGGUGUUGUUCCUCAUAAUCACCAAGUUGCCCGGCUUGAUGAUUGGCGGGUUUGUUUUGGGUUUAUCGUCGAAGAAGUGUUUGAACUUGGUGGAGUGGAAUGGAGGACCAUUAUCCAAGCGUUGUCGCUCCGGAAACCCAAAAUUUGUAAAAAUGUCCUCUAUUGCGGCAAUGGUGUGGGAUGCUGAUGUUGAUGGAACAAAUGCUGCGGAGGGGAACCGGGAAAGAUCGCAGCGAACCACCAACACAAAUGACCGAUCCCACAAAGGCCCAAAACGGUCAAUAGAGACCGCCUCCCAUGCUCUGUCUGGGACCGGGUGAGACUUUUGACACACUUUAGAUGGCUUCUCAGUUAGUUGUUGACACUUUCCGCAUCCUUGCACCUACUUUUCUAUCUUCUUGUCCAUCAAAGGAAACCAAACAAUGCUACGCAGCCUUCACUUCAUUGCCAAAAAACCUCAGGUGUGCUGCACCAUGGGCAAGGUGGAGGUCUCUUUCCACCAGUUCCUUAGGAAGCACGAUCCGAGACCCCCUCAGAAUGUUGCCUUGUUCUGAAAUGUUCCUUGUCCUUUUGUGUGGCGGCACCAAUUGUGGACGAAUCUAGCGCCUGGCAAACGUCUCCAUCUAAUGUCAGCUCGAAUUGAGCCUGGCCUUGUUCCCUUGAAAAUUGGCACAAAUGGCUUAUGGUCCGUAAUAACGUAGACAUCCGGAUUCCCAACCAG